rnacentral:rRNA from 1 species
GACGUAGGGUCCAAGCGUUGUCCGGAAUUAUUGGGCGUAAAGAGCUCGUAGGCGGUUUGUCGCGUCGGCUGUGAAAUCCCGAGGCUCAACCUCGGGCCUGCAGUCGAUACGGGCAAACUAGAGUGUGGUAGGGGAGACUGGAAUUCCUGGUGUAGCGGUGAAAUGCGCAGAUAUCAGGAGGAACACCGGCGGCGAAGGCGGGUCUCUGGGCCAUAACUGACGCUGAGGAGCGAAAGCGUGGGGAGCGAACAGG